rnacentral:lncRNA from 1 species
GAAUGAAGCAGACAAUUACAGUACUUGCAGAAUUGUCAUACUGCCUCAGAAGUAUACAAGAGGGUAUAAAUGUAUAGUGUAACUAGUGGCAACCCUCGGAAUAAUGUUCUAACAACUUCUUUGUCAUACAUCAAAAUGGAAAUGAAGAUAUACCAGAUGGUCCCUCUGAAUGGCGGCACAACCUUGGCAGGCUGGAGGAAUGGACCAACAGGAACCUCACAAAUUUCAACAAAAGGGAAAGCAAAGUCCUGCACCUGGAGAGGAAUAGCCUCUUCACCAAGACAGGCUGGGAGCUGACCGGCUGGAUGACAAAAUUGCAGAAGGCGGCCUAUGAGUCCUGGUAGACAACAAGGUGGCUAUGGGCCAGCAACGUACCCUUGUGGCAAGGGCAGCCAAC